rnacentral:rRNA from 1 species
UGGGGAAUAUUGUACAAUGGGCGCAAGCCUGAUGCAGCCAUGCCGCGUGUAUGAAGAAGGCCUUCGGGUUGUAAAGUACUUUCAGCGGGGAGGAAGGUGUUGUGGUUAAUAACCACAGCAAUUGACGUUACCCGCAGAAGAAGCACCGGCUAACUCCGUGCCAGCAGCCGCGGUAAUACGGAGGGUGCAAGCGUUAAUCGGAAUUACUGGGCGUAAAGCGCACGCAGGCGGUCUGUCAAGUCGGAUGUGAAAUCCCCGGGCUCAACCUGGGAACUGCAUCCGAAACUGGCAGGCUUGAGUCUUGUAGAGGGGGGUAGAAUUCCAGGUGUAGCGGUGAAAUGCGUAGAGAUCUGGAGGAAUACCGGUGGCGAAGGCGGCCCCCUGGACAAAGACUGACGCUCAGGUGCGAAAGCGUGGGGAGCAAACA